CUAACACAUGCAAGUCGAACGCGAGAGGGGCUUCGGCCCUGAUUGAGUGGCAAACGGGUGAGUAACACGUGGGUGACCUACCUUCGAGUGGGGGAUAACGUCCCGAAAGGGACGCUAAUACCGCAUAACAUCCUGCCUUUGAACAGGCGGUGAUCAAAGCCGGGGACCGUAAGGCCUGGCGCUUGAAGAUGAGCCCGCGUCCGAUUAGCUAGUUGGCGGGGUAAUGGCCCACCAAGGCUUCGAUCGGUAGCCGGCCUGAGAGGGCGGACGGCCACACUGGAACUGAGACACGGUCCAGACUCCUACGGGAGGCAGCAGUGGGGAAUUUUUCGCAAUGGGCGCAAGCCUGACGAAGCAACGCCGCGUGGAGGAUGAAGGUCUUCGGAUUGUAAACUCCUGUCGACCGGGACGAAUGCACUCGACCUAAUACGUCGGAUUGUUGACGGUACCGGUGGAGGAAGCCACGGCUAACUCUGUGCCAGCAGCCGCGGUAAUACAGAGGUGGCAAGCGUUGUUCGGAAUUACUGGGCGUAAAGGGCGCGUAGGCGGCCUUGUAAGUCUCGUGUGAAAGCCCUCGGCUUAACUGAGGAUCUGCACGGGAUACUGCGAGGCUUGAGUUCGGGAGAGGAAAGCGGAAUUCCGGGUGUAGCGGUGAAAUGCGUAGAUAUCCGGAGGAACACCAGUGGCGAAGGCGGCUUUCUGGACCGACACAGACGCUGAGGCGCGAAAGC
rnacentral:rRNA from 1 species